AGAGUUUGAUCCUGGCUCAGGACGAACGCUGGCGGCGCGCCUAACACAUGCAAGUCGAACGAGCGAGAGAGAGCUUGCUUUCUCGAGCGAGUGGCGAACGGGUGAGUAACGCGUGAGGAACCUGCCUCAAAGAGGGGGACAACAGUUGGAAACGACUGCUAAUACCGCAUAAGCCCACAGGUCGGCAUCGACCAGAGGGAAAAGGAGCAAUCCGCUUUGAGAUGGCCUCGCGUCCGAUUAGCUAGUUGGUGAGGUAAUGGCCACCAAGGCGACGAUCGGUAGCCGGACUGAGAGGUUGAACGGCCACAUUGGGACUGAGACACGGCCCAGACUCCUACGGGAGGCAGCAGUGGGGAAUAUUGCACAAUGGGGGAAACCCUGAUGCAGCGACGCCGCGUGGAGGAAGAAGGUCUUCGGAUUGUAAACUCCUGUUGUUGAGGAAGAUAAUGACGGUACUCAACAAGGAAGUGACGGCUAACUACGUGCCAGCAGCCGCGGUAAAACGUAGGUCACAAGCGUUGUCCGGAAUUACUGGGUGUAAAGGGAGCGCAGGCGGGAAGACAAGUUGGAAGUGAAAUCUAUGGGCUCAACCCAUAAACUGCUUUCAAAACUGUUUUUCUUGAGUAGUGCAGAGGUAGGCGGAAUUCCCGGUGUAGCGGUGGAAUGCGUAGAUAUCGGGAGGAACACCAGUGGCGAAGGCGGGCUACUGGGCACCAACUGACGCUGAGGCUCGAAAGUGUGGGUAGCAACAGGAUUAGAUACCCUGGUAGUCCACACCGUAAACGAUGAUUACUAGGUGUUGGAGGAUUGACCCCUUCAGUGCCGCAGUUAACACAAUAAGUAAUCCACCUGGGGAGUACGACCGCAAGGUUGAAACUCAAAGGAAUUGACGGGGGCCCGCACAAGCAGUGGAGUAUGUGGUUUAAUUCGACGCAACGCGAAGAAUCUUACCAAGUCUUGACAUCCCUUGACGAACAUAGAAAUAUGUUUUCUCUUCGGAGCAAGGAGACAAGUGGUGCAUGGUUGUCGUCAGCUCGUGUCGUGAGAUGUUGGGUUAAGUCCCGCAACGAGCGCAACCCUUACUGUCAGUUACUACGCAAGAGGACUCUGGCAGGACUGCCGUUGACAAAACGGAGGAAGGUGGGGAUGACGUCAAAUCAUCAUGCCCUUUAUGACUUGGGCUACACACGUACUACAAUGGCGUUAAACAAAGAGAAGCAAGACCGCGAGGUGGAGCAAAACUCAGAAACAACGUCCCAGUUCGGACUGCAGGCUGCAACUCGCCUGCACGAAGUCGGAAUUGCUAGUAAUCGUGGAUCAGCAUGCCACGGUGAAUACGUUCCCGGGCCUUGUACACACCGCCCGUC
rnacentral:rRNA from 1 species